rnacentral:tRNA from 1 species
GGGAGAUUUCCAGAGCGGCCAAAUGGAGCAGACUGUAAAUCUGUUGUCUCUUGACUUCGGUGGUUCGAAUCCACCAUCUCCCACCA